ACUGACGCUGAGGCGCGAAAGUGUGGGGAGCAAACAGGAUUAGAUACCCUGGUAGUCCACACUGUAAACGAUGAAUGCCAGGUGUUGGAGGUAUCGACCCCUUCAGUGCCGGAGUCAACACAAUAAGCAUUCCGCCUGGGGAGUACGGCCGCAAGGUUGAAACUCAAAGGAAUUGACGGGGGCCCGCACAAGCAGCGGAGCAUGUGGUUUAAUUCGACGCAACGCGAAGAACCUUACCAGGUCUUGACAUCCAUUUAAAGCUGCGGAGACGCAGUGUAAGCUUGCUCGAAAUGAGACAGGUGGUGCAUGGUUGUCGUCAGCUCGUGUCGUGAGAUGUUGGGUUAAGUCCCGCAACGAGCGCAACCCUUGCCUGCAGUUGCUAACGCGCAGUGGCGAGAACUCUGCAGGGACUGCCGGGGACAACUCGGAGGAAGGUGGGGACGACGUCAAAUCAUCAUGCCCCUUAUGACCUGGGCUACACACGUGCUACAAUGGCCGUAACAAAGAGAAGCGAGCGCGCAAGCGUAAGCGGAUCUCAAAAAAGCGGUCUCAGUUCGGAUUGUGGGCUGCAACCCGCCCACAUGAAGUCGGAGUGCUAGU
rnacentral:rRNA from 1 species